rnacentral:tRNA from 1 species
CAGGGAGACAACAAAAUGUUUAAUAUUAUUAUUUUGUCACCUUAGGUCGAUCGGUACCUCACGUUUUUAAUUUAUUAAGAAUUUCAUUUCCUAAGUUUUUCUAGGUCACACCCAUUAUUUUCCUGGGCCAUUAGCUCAGGUGGUUAGAGCGCACCCCUGAUAAGGGUGAGGUCCCUGGUUCAAGUCCAGGAUGGCCCAUAUCUCUAUGUUGGGGGUAUAGCUCAGUUGGUAGAGCGCCUGCUUUGCAAGCAGGAUGUCAGCGGUUCGAGUCCGCUUACCUCCACUGAUCACCACCUCUUCCAUAAUGUCUAGAAGGGAAUGUUUUGAGUUGUGAUCAAAUUCUGAAAGAAUCUAGCUUCCUAAUGAAAUCAUUAAGAUGCUGGACUCAUUGAAUUAUUUUCAUUGUUUUCAGAGAACCUUGACAACUGCAUAGAUUAUUUUUAAAGACAAUAAGCAUCUUUAAUGAUGCAGAUUUAUUAUUUGUGCAAAUGCAUUAAUAACAAUUCUAUUAAGCUGAUGCUUCAAUAUUUGAAGUUAUU